UACGUAGGGGGCAAGCGUUGUCCGGAAUCAUUGGGCGUAAAGAGCGUGUAGGCGGCUCGGUAAGUCCGCUCUGAAAGCCCGGGGCUCAACCCCGGGAGGCGGGCGGAUACUGUCGGGCUAGAGUCCGGAAGAGGCGAGUGGAAUUCUGGUGUAGCGGUGAAAUGCGCAGGAUAUCAGGAGGAACACCAAUGGCGAAAGGCAGCUCGCUGGGACGGUACUGACGCUGAGACGCGAAAGCGUGGGGAGCAAACAGG
rnacentral:rRNA from 1 species